rnacentral:rRNA from 1 species
UACGAAGGGGGCAAGCGUUGUUCGGAAUUACUGGGCGUAAAGGGCGCGUAGGCGGCUUAUUAAGUCAGGCGUGAAAUUCCCGGGCUCAACCUGGGGGCUGCGCUUGAUACUGGUGAGCUUGAAUGCGGGAGAGGAUAGUGGAAUUCCCAGUGUAGAGGUGAAAUUCGUAGAUAUUGGGAAGAACACCGGUGGCGAAGGCGGCUAUCUGGCCCGUAAUUGACGCUGAGGCGCGAAAGCGUGGGGAGCAAACAGG